UACGAAGGGGGCUAGCGUUGCUCGGAAUUACUGGGCGUAAAGCGCGUGUAGGCGGUUGUCCAAGUUGGAUGUGAAAGCCUUGAGCUUAACUCAAGAAAUGCAUUCAGGACUGGAUGACUAGAGGACCGGAGAGGAUAGUGGAAUUCCCAGUGUAGUGGUGAAAUACGUAGAGAUUGGGAAGAACACCAGUGGCGAAGGCGGCUAUCUGGACAGUAACCGACGCUGAGGCGCGAAAGCUAGGGGAGCAAACAGG
rnacentral:rRNA from 1 species